GACAGAGGGGCAAGCGUUGCUCGGAAUCACUGGGCGUAAAGGGCGCGUAGGCGGGAUGGCAAGUCGGUCGUGAAAUCCUUCGGCUCAACCGAAGAACGUCGGCCGAUACUGCCGUUCUUGAGGGAUGCAGAGGAGAUUGGAAUUCCCGGUGUAGCGGUGAAAUGUGUAGAGAUCGGGAGGAACACCGGUGGCGAAGGCGGGUCUCUGGGCGAUCGUCCUGACGCUGAGGCGCGGAAAGCGUGGGGAGCGAACGGG
rnacentral:rRNA from 1 species